rnacentral:rRNA from 1 species
CACAUCCAAGUCGAGCGGCAGCGGGAAGUAGUUUACUACUUUGCCGGCGAGCGGCGGACGGGUGAGUAAUGUCUGGGAAACUGCCUGAUGGAGGGGGAUAACUACUGGAAACGGUAGCUAAUACCGCAUGACCUCGCAAGAGCAAAGUGGGGGACCUUCGGGCCUCACGCCAUCGGAUGUGCCCAGAUGGGAUUAGCUAGUAGGUGGGGUAAUGGCUCACCUAGGCGACGAUCCCUAGCUGGUCUGAGAGGAUGACCAGCCACACUGGAACUGAGACACGGUCCAGACUCCUACGGGAGGCAGCAGUGGGGAAUAUUGCACAAUGGGCGCAAGCCUGAUGCAGCCAUGCCGCGUGUGUGAAGAAGGCCUUCGGGUUGUAAAGCACUUUCAGCGAGGAGGAAGGCAGUCGUGUUAAUAGCACGAUUGAUUGACGUUACU